rnacentral:rRNA from 1 species
UACGUAGGGGGCAAGCGUUGUCCGGAUUUAUUGGGCGUAAAGAGCGUGUAGGCGGCCUGACAGGUCUGCUGUGAAAACUCGAGGCUCAACCUCGAGAUGUCGGCGGAAACCGUCUGGCUAGAGUCCGGAAGAGGAGAGUGGAAUUCCUGGUGUAGCGGUGAAAUGCGCAGAUAUCAGGAGGAACACCGGUGGCGAAGGCGGGUCUCUGGGCCGUAACUGACGCUGAGGAGCGAAAGCAUGGGGAGCGAACAGG